CCUACGGGUGGCAGCAGUGGGGAAUAUUGCACAAUGGGGGGAACCCUGAUGCAGCGACGCCGCGUGAGUGAAGAAGUAUUUCGGUAUGUAAAGCUCUAUCAGCAGGGAAGAAAAUGAUGGUACCUGUCUAAGAAGCGCUGGCGAACGACGGGCCAGCAGCCGCGGUAAGACGCAGGGGGCAAGCGUUAUCCGGAUUUACUGGGUGGAAAGGGAGCGUAGACGGUUUUGCAAGUCUGAAGUGAAAGCCCCAGGCUCAACCAUGGGACUGCUUUGGAAACUGUAAAACUGGAGUGCAGGAGAGGUGAGCGGAAUUCCUGGUGUAGCGGUGAAAUGCGUAGAUAUUAGGAAGAACACCAGUGGCGAAGGCGGCUUACUGGACUGUAACUGACGCUGAGGCUCGAAGGCGUGGGGAGCAAACAGGAUUAGAUACCCCUGUAGUC
rnacentral:rRNA from 1 species